rnacentral:lncRNA from 1 species
CCCCGCUCCUAUACGAUGAGUGACGUCCCCGUCAAUCUCUCCGUCCCCCUGCAUCACCGACCGAAGAUAUCUGACACUGUCCCUCUUGGCGAUGACAUGAGAUCCAAUCAUCACAUCUCUGCCUUCUUCGCUCGGCUCGGUGCUAAACUUGUACUCCAGGUAUUCAGUCUUAGAUCUUCUUAUUUUGAAAACCUUAGACUCGAGAGUCUGUCUCCAUACCUCUAACCUCUCAAUAACACCG